CGCAGUGCUCAGAAGCUUGUGGCACAAAAAGCACUCUCAGAUGCAUUUCAGAAGAUUCUCCUCAUAGUUCUAGAGAAUGGGAAGGUGGCCGUGGAAUUCUGCUCCCCCCAAGAAGACCUUGUGGACUGUUUAGCGGACGAAGAGCUCAAGGGGCUCCUCCAGGUGACUGACUUUUCUUUCUCACAGUUGAAUCCUGAAGGAGAAGAAGAGGUCUUG